AUUGAACGCUGGCGGCAGGCUUAACACAUGCAAGUCGAGCGAGCGGCGGACGGGUGAGUAAUGUCUGGGAAACUGCCUGAUGGAGGGGGAUAACUACUGGAACCGGUAGCUAAUACCGCAUACCUUCCGAUGUGCCCAGAUGGGAUUAGUUAGUAGGUGGGGUAAUGGCUCACCUGGGCGACGAUCCCUAGCUGGUCUGAGAGGAUGACCAGACAAACUGGAAUGGAAACACGGUCCAGCCUCCUACGGGAGGCAGCAGUGGGGAAUAUUGCACAAUGGGCGCAAGCCUGAGGCAGCCAGGCCGCGUGUGUGAAGAAGGCCUUCGGGUUGUAAAGCACGUUCAGCGAGGAGGCGUUACUCGCAGAAGAAGCACCGGCUAACUCCGUGCCAGCAGCCGCGGUAAUUC
rnacentral:rRNA from 1 species